rnacentral:tRNA from 1 species
GGUGAGGUGAGUGAGUGGCUGAAACUAGCAGUUUGCUAAACUGCCGUACUGGAAACGGUACCGGGGGUUCGAAUCCCCCCCUCACCG